ACCAGACUCCUACGGGAGGCAGCAGUGGGGAAUAUUGCACAAUGGGGGAAACCCUGAUGCAGCGACGCCGCGUGAGUGAAGAAGUAUUUCGGUAUGUAAAGCUCUAUCAGCAGGGAAGAAAAUGACGGUACCUGAUUAAGAAGCCCCGGCUAACUACGUGCCAGCAGCCGCGGUAAUACGUAGGGGGCAAGCGUUAUCCGGAUUUACUGGGUGUAAAGGGAGCGUAGACGGUGAUGCAAGUCAGAAGUGAAAGCCCGGGGCUCAACUCCGGGACUGCUUUUGAAACUGUGUGACUGGAGUGCAGGAGAGGUAAGCGGAAUUCCUGGUGUAGCGGUGAAAUGCGUAGAUAUUAGGAGGAACACCAGUGGCGAAGGCGGCUUACUGGACAGUAACUGACGUUGAGGCUCGAAAGCGUGGGGAGCAAACAGGAUUAGAUACCCCAGUA
rnacentral:rRNA from 1 species